CCUCUACCUUUUAUCCUUUUUUGUUAGCGGUUCAAAAUUAGUUAUCUUUCU
rnacentral:tRNA from 1 species